rnacentral:rRNA from 1 species
GAUGAACGCUGGCGGCGUGCUUAACACAUGCAAGUCGAACGAGCUGCACGGACGGAAAUUUUCGGAUGGAAGACUGUGUACGCGAGUGGCGGACGGGUGAGUAACGCGUGGGGAACCUGCCCUGUUCCGGGGGAUACCAGUUGGAAACGACUGUUAAUACCGCAUAAGCGCACGGUACCGCAUGGUACAGUGUGAAAAACUACCGGUGGAACGGGAUGGCCCCCGCGUCUGAUUAGGCAGUUGGCGGGGUAACGGCCCACCAAACCGACGAUCAGUAGCCGACCUGAGAGGGUGACCGGCCACAUUGGGACUGAGACACGGCCCAAACUCC